CCCUUAGAUGUUCUGGGCCGCACGCGCGCUACACUGACGAAUGCAACGAGCUUAUAACCUUGGCCGAAAGGUCUGGGUAAUCUCCAAAUUUCGUCGUGAUGGGGAUAGAUUAUUGCAAUUAUUAAUCUUCAACGAGGAAUGCCUAGUAAGCGCAAGUCAUCAGCUUGCGUUGAUUACGUCCCUGCCCUUUGUACACACCGCCCGUCGCUCCUACCGAUUGAAUGGUCCGGUGAAGUGCUCGGACCGCGGCCUCUUGACGGUUUUCCGUCGAUUGGCUGUGGGAAGUUCGUUAAACCUUAUCAUUUAGAGGAAGGAGAAGUCGUAACA
rnacentral:rRNA from 1 species